AAAUUGAAGAGUUUGAUCAUGGCUCAGAUUGAACGCUGGCGGCAGGCCUAACACAUGCAAGUCGAGCGGAAACGACACUAACAAUCCUUCGGGUGCGUUAAUGGGCGUCGAGCGGCGGACGGGUGAGUAAUGCCUAGGAAAUUGCCUUGAUGUGGGGGAUAACCAUUGGAAACGAUGGCUAAUACCGCAUGAUGCCUACGGGCCAAAGAGGGGGACCUUCGGGCCUCUCGCGUCAAGAUAUGCCUAGGUGGGAUUAGCUAGUUGGUGAGGUAAUGGCUCACCAAGGCGACGAUCCCUAGCUGGUCUGAGAGGAUGAUCAGCCACACUGGAACUGAGACACGGUCCAGACUCCUACGGGAGGCAGCAGUGGGGAAUAUUGCACAAUGGGCGCAAGCCUGAUGCAGCCAUGCCGCGUGUGUGAAGAAGGCCUUCGGGUUGUAAAGUACUUUCAGUUGUGAGGAAGGGGGUGUUGUUAAUAGCAACAUCUCUUGACGUUAGCAACAGAAGAAGCACCGGCUAACUCCGUGCCAGCAGCCGCGGUAAUACGGAGGGUGCGAGCGUUAAUCGGAAUUACUGGGCGUAAAGCGCAUGCAGGUGGUUCGUUAAGUCAGAUGUGAAAGCCCGGGGCUCAACCUCGGAACUGCAUUUGAAACUGGUGAACUAGAGUACUGUAGAGGGGGGUAGAAUUUCAGGUGUAGCGGUGAAAUGCGUAGAGAUCUGAAGGAAUACCGAUGGCGAAGGCAGCCACCUGGGUCAACACUGACGCUCAUGUACGAAAGCGUGGGGAGCAAACAGGAUUAGAUACCCUGGUAGUCCACGCCGUAAACGAUGUCUACUUGGAGGUUGUGGCCUUGAGCCGUGGCUUUCGGAGCUAACGCGUUAAGUAGACCGCCUGGGGAGUACGGUCGCAAGAUUAAAACUCAAAUGAAUUGACGGGGGCCCGCACAAGCGGUGGAGCAUGUGGUUUAAUUCGAUGCAACGCGAAGAACCUUACCUACUCUUGACAUCCAGAGAAUCCAGCGGAGACGCAGGAGUGCCUUCGGGAGCUCUGAGACAGGUGCUGCAUGGCUGUCGUCAGCUCGUGUUGUGAAAUGUUGGGUUAAGUCCCGCAACGAGCGCAACCCUUAUCCUUGUUUGCCAGCGAGUCAUGUCGGGAACUCCAGGGAGACUGCCGGUGAUAAACCGGAGGAAGGUGGGGACGACGGCAAGUCAUCAUGG
rnacentral:rRNA from 1 species